CCGAAAGGUAUGCUAAUACGGGAUAAUAUAUUUGAGAGGCAUCUCUUAAAUAUCAAAGGUGAGCCAGUACAGGAUGGACCCGCGUCUGAUUAGCUAGUUGGUAAGGUAACGGCUUACCAAGGCGACGAUCAGUAGCCGACCUGAGAGGGGGAUCGGCCACAUUGGAACUGAGACACGGUCCAAACUCCUACGGGAGGCAGCAGUGGGGAAUAUUGCACAAUGGGCGAAAGCCUGAUGCAGCA
rnacentral:rRNA from 1 species